UGGGGAAUAUUGCGCAAUGGACGAAAGUCUGACGCAGCGACGCCGUGUGUGGGAGGAAGCUCUUCGGGGUGUAAACCACUGUCAGGAGGGAAGAACGGCGCCGGUUCGAACAGUUCCGGCGAUUGACGGUACCUCCAAAGGAAGCGCCGGCUAACUCCGUGCCAGCAGCCGCGGUAAGACGGAGGGCGCAAGCGUUGUUCGGAAUUACUGGGCGUAAAGCGCGGGCAGGCGGUCUGUUAAGUCGUUUGUGAAAAUCCGGGGCUCAACCCCGGAAAUGCAUACGAUACUGGCAGGCUGGAGACUGGUAGAGGCUAGCGGAAUUCCUGGUGUAGCGGUGGAAUGCGUAGAUAUCAGGAGGAACACCGGUGGCGAAGGCGACAUCCUGGACCAAUUCUGACGCUGAGGAGCGAAAGCCAGGGGAGCAAACGGGAUUAGAUACCCUAGUAGUCCCUGAGCGGGCUGGCAAGGCGCAU
rnacentral:rRNA from 1 species